rnacentral:lncRNA from 1 species
AUUGGAGGAGUGCCUUCUGCGUCUUUGACAACGAUUCCGGGUAAACCGACACGGCUCAAAAACCGCUGAUUGGUCAAUCCAAAAUUGCAAUUGCUCAUGCGCACUCGCUUUUUCCGCUGAAAUUGUGCGGGCUCUAUUGAACAAAAUGGCGGUCGAAGAAGAGUGUUUUAUGUUUGUGACAAAGGAAAAUGGGCAUAAGAACGUCUUGUUCAAUCGUAAUUUGACAGUUUUAUUAAAGGAAUAGAUGGAAACUACUUCUUGCUUCCUUUUAGAGAAGGAAUCCGAUUUAAGAACGAAAUAGAAAGACCACUACAUGGAAGCGAAAGGCGGCCGAUCACGAGUAUGCAACUGAGUUAACUCAUUUUCUUUUGAAAGCUGUAUUACAGUCCAGAUCUUCGUUUGUAAAUACGUUUUCCGUUUCUUCAAAAGUUGGUAAUUGCUAAAGAAAUCUUUUUUUAAGACCCAAAAGUCACACCUGAAUGACAAACUGAAGAAGUUUAAAGUGACAUGAUUUACUGUCAGUGUCACGUCACUGUCAACAAGAUUCCAUGAAAUAAGUGGAUUAAAAAAAAUAACAUGGUCUCAAGUAUUGCAAGAUUCAUUCAAAAGAUCAUCAUGCUUGUAUNUACAAAAAUAUGAUCAGAAAGGUAAAACAUUAUCAAGACAUUGAAUUUGGAAACUUUGGAUUUGUGUAUUAUCAAUAUCAUUAUGACUGUUGUAGAUGCUGCCAAAUACCAAUGCUGGAACAAAGUUUUUUUUGAAUUAUUGAUUUAUUUUCUGUAAUGUCUUGCACUUAGAGCAGAGUCACUUGAACCAUGAAAUAGAAACUAAAUACUUACUAUAGUAAUUAUUAGGCACUAUUUAGACACUAUCACUGAACCAGAACAGUACAAAGAGAUUACUUUGAUUGUUAUAGUGGUCUCUUGGAUAUUGCUUGUUGGAUCA